rnacentral:lncRNA from 1 species
AAAAAAAGUUGUUUAGAGCCCCAAAAACAGAAUGAGAGAAAAAGACCAAGAUUUUUAUGAGACCAGUAAACAUGGCUAUAAAGUAGAAACUGGCCCACAAUGUUGGUCUAUUUCUGAGGCAGCCACUGGGCACUGGCAUUGGGAGGCCCUGUCAGGGGUCACACUUCAUCACCAAACCUAGGCCAUCAAAUCACUUAAAAUCCAAUGAGAAUAAUGGCAAAAACUAUAUACAAACACUGACAAGGACAGAAACAUACCUCCAUAAUCCACUGUGCCUUGUUCUAUGCAGUGUGUUGUUGGAAGAGUUGUAAGCUGUCCUUUAAGUGACUUUUUAAAACGCACAAGAACAGACAUGACAA